AUCACUCUCAGGCCUUUUGUUCUUCCCCACAGCUGCUCAGCAAAUUCCUUGAUUUGAAAUUACGAUCACAGGUUGGAGUGCUACUUAAAAUAAUUUUGCCAAAUGUUCCAUCUCUCUGUGUUGAUGAAUAUAAUGGAUGACAAUUUAAAGAGCAAAAAAAAAAUCUCUGCAUUUAAUGAGGAAGUGCUGUCAGCAGAAAGGAGAGGAAGCUUCACCCCGACCAUCCGCAGGACCCACAUCCCUCUCAGCGGGAAGGCAGAAUCAUUCAUCUAUUGCUCUCCUUGAAGGGCAGCUCCAGACACUCACGUGGACACAAGUAGGAAAAGCACAGAGUGUGUCAUCACACUGUGUACCUCAUACAGGUGACGUCCUGGAGAAACCUCUGGAAAAACAGAAAUUUUAUGACCCACAAUUAAAAUGAUUUAAGUAAUAAAUAACCCUGAUAGCUUGCCCCA
rnacentral:lncRNA from 1 species